UACGUAGGGUGCGAGCGUUGUCCGGAAUUACUGGGCGUAAAGCGCACGUAGGCGGCUUCUUAAGUCGGUGGUGAAAUCCUGGAGCUCAACUCCAGAACUGCCUUCGAUACUGGGAGCUCGAGUCCGGGAGAGGUGAGUGGAACUGCGAGUGUAGAGGUGAAAUUCGUAGAUAUUCGCAAGAACACCAGUGGCGAAGGCGGCUCACUGGCCCGGUACUGACGCUGAGGUGCGAAAGCGUGGGGAGCAAACAGG
rnacentral:rRNA from 1 species